rnacentral:tRNA from 1 species
GGUUGUGGCUCAGUGGUAGAGCACUCACCUAGCGUGGGUGAGGUACUGGGUUCGAUCCUCAGAAUAAUAA